GCGAGCUGGAGCACGAGACACUGUCAAGGCAGAGGAAACUCCUCCCUCCAUACGGGAAUGUGAUUCGGCGAUGAAUAAUCAGAGAUGAUUGGCAACAGUACAGAAAAAAAUCCAAUCUGGAGUACAAUGAUGGCAAAACCUGAGAUUUCCAGUCAAGGAAUGAAAAAUCUGACCCACAUGGAGCAAAGCCAAACAGAACCCUAGGAUCCUGUACCAGGUUCAGGUAGGCUGCAAAGCGAAAUAUCGUGAAAACAGAAGGAGGGUUACUACCAGCACGC
rnacentral:RNase_P_RNA from 1 species